GAUGAACGCUGGCGGCGUGCCUAAUACAUGCGAGUCGAGCGAAUGGAUUAAGAGCUUGCUCUUAUGAAGUUAGCGGCGGACGGGUGAGUAACACGUGGGUAACCUGCCCAUAAGACUGGGAUAACUCCGGGAAACCGGGGCUAAUACCGGAUAACAUUUUGAACCGCAUGGUUCGAAAUUGAAAGUCGGCUUCGGCUGUCACUUAUGGAUGGACCCGCGUCGCAUUAGCUAGUUGGUGAGGUAACGGCUCACCAAGGCAGCGAUGCGUAGCCGACCUGAGAGGGUGAUCGGCCACACUGGGACUGAGACACGGCCCAGACUCCUACGGGAGGCAGCAGUAGGGAAUCUUCCGCAAUGGACGAAAGUCUGACGGAGCAACGCCGCGUGAGUGAUGAAGGCUUUCGGGUCGUAAAACUCUGUUGUUAGGGAAGAACAAGUGCUAGUUGAAUAAGCUGGCACCUUGACGGUACCUAACCAGAAAGCCACGGCUAACUACGUGCCAGCCGCCGCGGUAA
rnacentral:rRNA from 1 species